AGAAGAGACAGAGGUGGUGCCUUCAGUGGUGGCCUGCUGGGCUGUGCCUGCCCCUCUGGGAGCCUCCUGCUGUCCCCAUCAUGGCCAGCGCUUACCACUGGGAGGCCCGGCGCAGGCAGAUGGCUUUGGACCGGAGGAAGUGGUUGAUGACCCAGCAGAAGCAGCAACAAGAGCAGGAGUCACGGCCUCCGUCUGCACAACAGCAACCAACUUCACAGCUACCGGCACGGUCACAGCCCCCAGCACAGUCACAGCCCCCACCACAGCCCACCCAACAAAAUGCCCAAGGCCCACUGCCUCAGUAUACCUUCAAGCAUGUUCUACAGGAUUCCCAAAGACAAGGUACCCCACUUGGCUCAGAAGAGACCCAACCAACUGAAGGGCAAGCCAACUACCUUAAUGACAGAGUGCAAGAAGCAAGGAGAAUCCCUCCAGGACUGGCAGGUUUCAGGAACACGCACCAGUCUAGCCCAGACAGACAUACCAGGUACCCGCGACUCACGCAAUGUCAUGAGGACUGAAGGUGGCUGGUGAAAGUCCUGGAAAUCACCAAAGCUCAGGCAGCGAGCGCCUGGCUCAUGGCAGGCCAGGAAAGCAGGAGGGAGAGUCUGAAAGACACGACACACAACGUCCACGAAUUACAUACAGCAGUGGUGAUGCAGAGAGCCCAAGACCACUGGCAGUCAGCAGAAUCCAACACGCCACCACGCCUUCUCCCCACCCAGCAACAUCUCCACCCCCAGGCCACUGCUCUGAGCCAUUCUAGAAGAGGGUAGUAGGGAAUAAAAUGAUUCCACGUGGAGAGAAUG